UUUUUAAACUGGUUUGGGAAAACCAAAUAUAUUAUAUAUUUUGCUUUGUUCAAAAUAAGGUUUUCUAAUAAAUUAUGUUUUUAUCAGAUAUGACAGAAUCUUUUUUAAAAUCUCUUCAAUAUGCUUUUAUUGCUUUUGAGAGGUUUUGUUACUUUGAGUAAAAUUAAGUGUUCAUAACAGACGGGUAGUCAUGAUUGAGUUCAUUGUGU
rnacentral:rRNA from 1 species